CUUGACUAGUUGGCGUGACGAUGU
rnacentral:siRNA from 1 species